GAAAACAUUACGGGCGACUUUAGGAGCCCACAACCUCAAGUGUUUGAUUAUAUAGACGCGGAAAGCGAUCUAAUUCAGGUUAUAGAGAGUUCCCUGGAGUAUCAUGGAGAUUUUAGGAUACAGAGUCCGACUUUUUUCCCCACUGAUCUGGAAAUAACAUUGGCCCCCGGGCUGAGAGACAGGGCCCCUCGACACCACUCAGUCGACAGUGAGGACGACGAUUAUUACGAUAACCAAAUUCUGCCCUUUUAUGAGUCGUACGCUCAGUUGAACGACCGAAAUAUCGGUGAGCCAAUAUCGGCGUCGGGGUCCAACAAAACCACGCAAGAAACAGACCGACUGAAGUCGCAACUAAAAGAGGCGUAUUAUUUGCUAAUAAACACAAUGCAUAACAUCAGUUUCGACGGUCAGGUUGAAGAUAACGGAUUUGUGGAUCAGGCCAGUAGCGCAAGUCAAUCUAUCGAUAGCAUUAGCACAGGAAGCGACGCGUCGGAAGAACGUCUGUUUGCGUUUAUCGGACGAUGUGGGGUGGGAGUGACGGGGUCUUCUCGAAGCAGAAGCUUGCAGAAUAUUCGCGACGCGAAUCCCAAACCGAUGCUCCAGCGGUCGGUGAGCGAUAGCAAGGUGAGGUACUCGUCAAAUCGCAAGGACGAGCCGCGACCCGCGGUCGCAUCGGGACGCGGUGCACAACUGGCGACUCCUACAGAAACCCUAACGACGCCUGUUUCGACGCGACAAUCCUGCGACGAUGCAACGGUGCCCAAACAUCCUGGAGUCACCGUCAACAAGAUGCAAGAGUGGAUGCAGAAAGGUCGCGUGCUUUCGUCCGAAAUGAAGCAGAGGAUCGCUGGUUCUUCGCCGAGGGCCAAUCACGUGAGGCCAGCAGCGAUGGAGUUUGUCUGUCAGCGUCAGACCCCGUUUAACCACAUCACCGUCUCCAAGAAACGCCAGUGGCUCCAGCAGAGCUCCGUCACAGCGCCCCCUGCAGCCGAGGAGGAGCAAACACAAACACCGCCGCCGUCUAACUCGCUUCUGACAGACCGAGGUGUGCACGGUUCACACUCAGGCUUGAUUCUCAGUGAAUGCUUCCAGAGUUUCGCUCUGCUGGAAGUUGAUCAAGAAAGAAUUAUUUUCAGUGUUUUAAUAAUCCACACAUCUCUCCCA
rnacentral:lncRNA from 1 species